rnacentral:misc_RNA from 1 species
AACGGUCUAUACCUGCGGUACCUGCGGAAGGAUCAUUACCGAGUGAGGGCCCUCUGGGUCCAACCUCCCACCCGUGUUUAUUGAACCCUUGUUGCUUCGGCGGGCCCGCCGUAUGGCCGCCGGAGGGCAUCCGCCCCCGGCCCGCGCCCGCCGAAGACACCUGUGAACGCUGUCUGAAGUUGCAGUCUGAGACAACUAGCUAAAUUAGUUAAAACUUUCAACAACGGAUCUCUAGAUCGG